rnacentral:lncRNA from 13 species
GGGGGAGGCCUGAAAUGGUACGGACCUCCCUGGGAACUAUUACCGGGGAGAAGGGAUGCAGAGUUGGUGAUAAUACAUUCCUCUACCGGUAAGUAUCACUAGGGAGAAGGGGAGAACGUGUGAAGGUGGUAGUCCUCUCAAGAAAAUAACAGUAGGGAGAUAGAUACUAUUAAGCUAGCUGUGGCGAAGGCACAGGUUGGUACAGUCCGCCUUGGGAGAUACCACUGGUGCAAAUAGGGAGGUGUGGUACAAUCUGUUCUUGGAGAAAGAAACGAAGAAAGUGAAGUUGGUAAAUAUAGGCGCAGGGAGACUUGGAGACAGACGACCAGGGAUAAAGGGGUCCGGGUGAGGUGGAAUCUUAGUCGGAGACUAGGUAAGAAGCCAGGCAAAUCUGGUGGUGACCCCACCAGUCCUACAUUCAUUCCAUCGACCUCCUGGGAACCUGUUGCGGAGAGAUUUGAGAGGGCGAAGAUUCCAGGGUCCCAGUCCUAUGGGGCCCCCCUAAGGCCUAGGGGGAAUAAACAGGAGACAGUGAUCAGGUUGCGGACCUCAACCACUCUGCCUUAUUAAUCACAUUCUACCAACUGAUCACCUGAAAGAAAAUGCACAGAGAGCCCUCACCAGGAACCAAAUCAGCUGGUCCCUUCAUCUUGGACUUCUUCCUGCCUCCAGAACUAAGCCCAAUAAACUUCUGGUUUAACCCAGCCAGCCUGUGGCAUUUUGUUACGGCAGCCCAAGCAGAGCAUAAUGUCUUCAAGGUUCAUCCAUGCAGUAGCAUAUGACAGUACUUCAUUCCUUUCUGCGGCUGAAUAAUAUUCCAUUGUAUGGAUAUACUAUACCAUAUUUGCUUUAUCCACUCACCAAUUGUA